CUCUUCCCUCCUGGCUUCGCCUCCAGCACGCAGCAGACGGCUGCUUGCUGUCCUCUGCCGCAUAAUCAGCUUGGAGCAGAAACACGCAGCAGAACCAAACUCUCUGAUCUACAGCAGCGCUGUGAGGGCCUGCUAGAUAUCCGCAACCAAGUUUAGUUAGCGCCAGCGGCUGCGACACAAAGUCUGUCAGCUAACUUUAACAAGCAACAAGAGCAACAAAAGUAGCUUAGCUGAGCUAACUGUAAGGAGAACAAUAGAUGGAGCGACCAGCUUCCUCCGAUCUGCACACGGGGACACUGACUGCACAGCAAAAGACUGCAUCGAACCUCAAUUAUUCCCCACCUGGCCCAUCCACAAUAGACGAUGAAGGAGCAGCACGCCAGUGCAACCUCUUUUUCCCUUCCACGGACUGGUAAUGUAGCAGCUGGUUUCCCUCCAAAUCCGACCUGCGUGGAGGAUCCUACGUUCACAACACAGAGGCCACUAAAGACUCCCGCUGCACAGGCAUGGUCUUAUUUGAUUACCUUAACUAAGUGUGUGAACAAGAUCCUGCAGGUGAUAUAAUACACUUCACUGUUGACUGCAGAGGACGGUAGCAGUUGGUAGUGGUGUUUUCCCUUCUGUUGCCUGAUGAGUGCUGUGAUUGAAUUCCCAGCACAGCGUCCCUACACCUGGCCGCCGGUCUGCUGAAACACCUGCGCGGCUGCGCAGAGGAGCCACUCAUUCACCAAGUCAUUCGUAAUUAAAUGCAUCAAAUAAAUGCGGUGGAGUGAAAAGCCCGAUAUUUCCUUCUGAAAUGUAGUGGAGCAGAAGUAUU